CUACGUGCCAGCAGCCGCGGUCAUACGUAGGAUCCGAGCGUUAUCCGGAGUGACUGGGCGUAAAGAGUUGCGUAGGUGGUUCAAUAAGCGAAUAGUGAAAGCUGGUGGCUCAACCAUYCAGAUUAUUAUUCGAACUGUUGAACUCGAGAGCAGAAGAGGUAGCUGGAAUUUCUAGUGUAGGAGUGAAAUCCGUAGAUAUUAGAAGGAACACCGAUGGCGUAGGCAGGCUACUGGGCUGUUUCUGACACUGAGGCACGAAAGCGUGGGGAGCGAACCGGAUUAGAUACCCUGGUAGUCCACGCCGUAAACGAUGAGUGCUAGGUGUUGGGUCCUUUCCGGGACUCAGUGCCGCAGCUAACGCAUUAAGCACUCCGCCUGGGGAGUACGACCGCAAGGUUGAAACUCAAAGGAAUUGACGGGGGCCCGCACAAGCGGUGGAGCAUGUGGUUUAAUUCGAAGCAACGCGAAGAACCUUACCAGGUCU
rnacentral:rRNA from 1 species